rnacentral:rRNA from 1 species
ACGCUGUGCGGCGUGCUUAACACAUGCAAGUCGAACGAUGAACCUCCUUCGGGAGGGGAUUAGUGGCGAACGGGUGAGUAACACGUGGGCAAUCUGCCCUGCACUCUGGGACAAGCCCUGGAAACGGGGUCUAAUACCGGAUACGACUCGGGAGGGCAUCCUUCCGGGUGGAAAGCUCCGGCGGUGCAGGAUGAGCCCGCGGCCUAUCAGCUUGUUGGUGGGGUGAUGGCCUACCAAGGCGACGACGGGUAGCCGGCCUGAGAGGGCGACCGGCCACACUGGGACUGAGACACGGCCCAGACUCCUACGGGAGGCAGCAGUGGGGAAUAUUGCACAAUGGGCGAAAGCCUGAUGCAGCGACGCCGCGUGAGGGAUGACGGCCUUCGGGUUGUAAACCUCUUUCAGCAGGGAAGAAGCGCAAGUGACGGUACCUGCAGAAGAAGCGCCGGCUAACUACGUGCCAGCAGCCGCGGUAAUACGUAGGGCGCAAGCGUUGUCCGGAAUUAUUGGGCGUAAAGAGCUCGUAGGCGGCUUGUCGCGUCGGAUGUGAAAGCUCGGGGCUUAACCCCGGGUCUGCAUUCGAUACGGGCAGGCUAGAGUGUGGUAGGGG